GUUCAAGCUACCAAGGGCUCACGGCCGGAUUACCUUGUCACACAAAGGCGAUGAAAGGACGUGUUACCUGGCGAUAAGUUCUCGGGGAGCAUGGGAGCACGCUUUGUAUGCGGAAUU
rnacentral:rRNA from 1 species